GUGCUACCAGUUCUGCAGGCACUGAAGAGGGUGUAUGUCCUGGUUUUGAAACAGGAGGGGUGGAUGGCCAUGAAAAUGUCUAUAUUCAGGGAACCCUGCCUUGUCAGGGGCUCGGCUCUCAAGGUGCUGAGCCCCUCUGUGAGGGUGAGGGCUCUCUCUCCCCAGUGUCAAUGGCCACAGAGAACACUCCCCAUCCUUUGGGAAUGUCCAACACAUUCCAGAAGUGGCAAGCGCCUCCCGGUACUGGAUGUGGCAGAAAUGCACAGAGCAGACCAAGGUUUUGCAUUUGGACCAGACUGCUUUGAAGGACGUGAGGAAGUUCAUUAUGCUGGAUGUGAGCCCGCUCCUGCUUUGACUGAAGGUUCCUGCUUGGGGAGGAGCAGCCAGGGGCAGAGUUGGGGCAGGACUCACCAUCCAACACCAUCCGAUGGACCACCUGCUACACAGCCUGAAGACUCAGACUGCCUGUAGGUCCUGGAGAUGGUUACAGUGAUUUCAUA